UACGUAGGGGGCAAGCGUUGUCCGGAUUUAUUGGGCGUAAAGAGCGUGUAGGCGGCCAUACAGGUCAGCUGUGAAAACUCGAGGCUCAACCUCGAGACGUCGGUUGAAACCGUUUGGCUAGAGUCCGGAAGAGGAGAGUGGAAUUCCCGGUGUAGCGGUGAAAUGCGCAGAUAUCGGGAAGAACACCCGUGGCGAAGGCGGUUCUCUGGGCCUGUACUGACGCUGAGGAGCGAAAGCGUGGGGAGCGAACAGG
rnacentral:rRNA from 1 species